CCCAAUUAAACCCUUCUCAUUUCUCUCUGUUUCCCUCUCACGUUUUUGAGGUCCUCUCUCUCUAAACCUAUCCACAAUCUCGAGCAACAGGCUCCAAGAUGUGCUUCAAUUUGGUCCAUGCCCUCGGAAGGAGCAAUGGGAUUUUAUGCGUAUUCCAUUAUGUCAUUCUGUCGGAACACCAUCUUCUGCAGCUCUUUGGUCGUCCUCAAUGGCUCACUGUUAGAUGGCGAUCACAUACAUAUGUAAACAAGGUUAAGGAGGAACUAGAGAAGAGAGGCUGUCAAUUAAGUACGGGUUUGUGAAGUAAAUUUUGUAUCAAUGAAUGAAGAAGAUACCGGUUUUCAGGAGCAUACACCUGGGCAGUAGGAUCACUUCAGUUAUCAGCUUAUUGGUGAGCCCCACUCCUCUCGGGGUUCAACAUGGAGUCUGCAUUAGUAUUCAGCUUAUGGUAGUCCAGGGUCAUGUCCUGGUAGUUAGUAUUCAGACAUGUUUUAGAGGUUUCAUAGACAGAUGUUAGUUCACAAAGUCAGUUAUGUUUUCAUGCGUGCAUACUAUUACGUUUUCAUGAUUUUUCAUGCUAUGAGAUAACUUCAAGACUUUAUUCCGCAAAUUACAUUUUCAUGAUUCAUUUAAAUUGCAUCAUAUAGAUUAUAUUGUUUUGAUGCCCAUGUUGACAAGCAAGCCAUGAGGUUCGCUCGGACACAUGCAAGCAAGGCCCGAGUGCCGUGUUACGUCCAGGCCAUGGUUCGGGGCGUGACACUUCUCCAAUGUACACUAUAAAGGUAAAUGGUGAAAGCCAUGACUACUUUGCAGGAAAAAAGGGUUGAGGCAAGGGAUCUAAUGUCUCCACUAUUGUUUUUCUUAGUAAUGGAAUACUUAUCAAGAUUCUCAAACGCAUGAGUGAAUUUCCAGAUUUUGAGUUCCAUCCUAUGUGCAAACAACUAAGACUUACUCAUUUAAUAUUUGUUGUUGACUUGAUGAUUUUUUACAAGAGGGAUGUUGAAUCUGUAACAAUAGUUAUGGAAGCUUUGAGGCAUUUCAGUGCUAUCACUAGACUUAUUGCUAACAUGGAUAAGUCUAAUUUGUUUAUUGUUGGGGUGGAUGAUACUACAAAAGAAAGGUUGUUGCAAUAAACUGAUUUUGCUAUUGGUACUUUCCCAAUCAGGUACCUUGGCCUCCCUUUCUCAUCCAAGAAAUGGAACAGGUUUGACUGCCACCAGCUUGUUGUAAAGAUUAGGAAUAGGAUUAAGACUGCAUAUGCUACUCAAUUAUCCUAUGCUGGUAGUCUUCAGAUUAUUAUUGUUGUGCUCUUUUUCAUUUCCAUUUUUUUUUUUUGGGUGGGGGUUUGUAUUCAUACUCCCUCAAAGUAUUCUUAAGGAGGUGUAUGAGAUUUGUAGGAGAUUUGUUAGGGGAAAAACUAAUGACAAGAGGAAAGUAUUACUUGUGGCAUGGGACAAGAUCUGCUAUCCAAUAAAGGUUGGAGGAUUGAAUAUAAAAGGCUGCAAAAACUGAAAUGUAGCUACUGUUGGGAAAAUAUUAUGGCAAGUACCUGAGAAAUAAGAUUCUUUAUGGGUGAAAUGGUUACAUGGAAUCUACAUAAAGGAUGAUGAAAGUAUUUGGGCACACAGGGCUCCAGCUGACAGUAGCUAGUAUGGGAGGAAAUUAAAUGGGCCCAAAGACUGUAUGUUAAAUUGGUACACUCAUGGAAGAUGGCAGGUGAAAAAGGGGUAAGAAAACAAAGAAGGCUAGCGAGACAGCGGUUCCCCGGAGACCACCAGAAAACCUUGUGAUUAGAAUGUUUGAAUGUUCAUGUUUGGUGGAUUUGUGGAUUUGCGAGGGUGAAGUAGUCUAAUGUUGUAGACUAACUUAGUGUAGACUAGUUUAAUGUUUUGUGGAUGUUUACAAAUGUUGAAGUAGUUUAAUAUUGUUUUGAUGUUUGCGAAGGUUGAAGUAGCUUAAUUAAUGUCUCUUGUGAAUGUUUGAUUGACGUUUUUAUUCAACUUUGAAGUAGUUUCGAAUUGAAUUUGUUGUUUGGUGUAUUGUUGUAAUAGUAGCUUAUUGUUUUAUGUAUUUAUAGUAGUUUGGUGUAUUGUUGGCAGCUAUUUGGGCUCGUUUUAGUUGAAAGUAAAAUUAUUUUCAUCUUGACAGGGAGGCAGCU